UUUUGUGGUUGACCUCGGAUCAGGUAGGAAUACCCGCUGAACUUAAGCAUAUCAAUA
rnacentral:rRNA from 1 species